CAUUAGAUAGCUUAAAGUAAGCAGUGGAAUUUUAAAUCAAAGAAUAAUAAUUAACGCCUAUUUCUAAUGA
rnacentral:tRNA from 1 species